AAUAGUUUGACUCCAAAUGAACUGAACUCACGAGGAGCAUACAAGAAAGUGUUAAAGGACGUCAAAUAAAGAGCCCAAAAGGGGGUUUUCUGCAGAGAUUCCAGACGUUGAUAAGCCAGCCGGAACCUCUAAAUUUGAAGCACGUGGUUUCGGUCGUGGGUCCUACAGGUGUGGUUAAAGCUGGGGUUUUUAAACAAGGGAACAGGGGGAAGAUGGGCAUGCGAAUCUGUUUACUUGUUCUGCAGUUUUUUCUUUGCAUACAUUUUUUUGGGUGGGGGAUGCAAGGCUUUCUGACAACAGAGAGGAAUAUACUUCAUCCUUGUCCAUGGUUGCUCCCAAUGAGCAAGAGAGAAUGCAUUUUAAAAAGGAGAGCAAAGAGGUGGUAUUUCCCCUCAUAGGGGUGUGGAGCGCCGUGGGGCCUCAGGAUAGGGAUGAGGUGAACUUGAACCAUGUCCGUCUAGAAUGGGCAGGAGCGGAGAGAUGCUGAAGAGGGAACGCAAUGUCCCUUCCCUUCGUGAAUUGGGGAGUGGGGACCGACACCUCUAGGAAGUGUGUCAGCUUCCUACUAGAGCUGACAUAACAAAUCAUCACGUACUCAGCAGCUUAAAACAGCACAGACUUACCGUCUCAUGGUUCUGGAUGUCACAAGUCAGCCGUGGGUCUCUCUGGGCUGACGUCAAGGUGUGGGCAGAGCUGGCUCCUCUUGGAGGCUUGAGAGGAGAAGCUGCUUCCUUGCCUUUUCCAGCUUCUGGAAGGUUCUGUCUGACGGCUCCACCCUCCAUCUGCAAAAUGCAUCCCUCCGACCUCUGCUUCCAUCAUCACAUCAUCUUCUCUGAUCCUGAUCCUCCUGUCUCCGUCUUACAAGGACCCGGGUGAUGGCACUGGGCUCACCUGCAUCAUCCAGGAUCAUCUCCCCAUCUCAAGACUCCAGAUUUUUAUCUUCUCAGGCUCGGUGUCCUUCCCUCGUCUAUAAAACCCUGUUGGGAAUACGCUGGUUUUCCAAGAAAUUCCACAGCAGAAGCCCGUUUGCGGAGCAGAGCCUGGACCAGCCUGGUGCUUGUGGACUUAAUUACAUUACAUUAAUUACGUUAACGAGCAUGGAGCAGUGGCUCACGUUUAGAUGGUUUACCUCCCUUUCUACUCCCUCCUAAGACUAACAACGAGCAAGGAAAACCCUCCAUGGCUCGGGCAAAGCACGCUGAGACCCUCUGUGCCAGUUGUAAAGGGCUGAAUAAUAUACUCAGUCGUCCGCGCGCCCCAUUAUGAUGUAUCCGUCAGUGACGGACUGCAUACCUGAUGGGGUUCCCAUAAGAUUACUACCAUCUAGCCUAGGUGUGUAGUAGGCUAUACCGCCUAGGCUUGUGUUAGGACGCUCUGUGACGUUCACAGAGAGACGAAAUCGCCUAAAGACGCAUUUCUCAGAACAUCCCCGUCGUUAAGCGACACAUGCCUAGACUUGAAUCUGGCUAAUAAUGGAGCUUGAAGAAAUCGAUGUUUACAGCUGUUUUCAUUGAAUGUCAGGACAUUCUUGAACCAUGAUCAGUUCGAAUGAUUCUAGUGGAAGGUUUAACGAUGUUAUGAAUA
rnacentral:lncRNA from 1 species